UACGUAGGUGGCAAGCGUUAUCCGGAUUUAUUGGGCGUAAAGGGAACGCAGGCGGUCUUUUAAGUCUGAUGUGAAAGCCUUCGGCUUAACCGGAGUAGUGCAUUGGAAACUGGGAGACUUGAGUGCAGAAGAGGAGAGUGGAACUCCAUGUGUAGCGGUGAAAUGCGUAGAUAUAUGGAAGAACACCAGUGGCGAAAGCGGCUCUCUGGUCUGUAACUGGCGCUGAGGUCCGAAAGCGUGGGUAGCAAACAGG
rnacentral:rRNA from 1 species